GACGAACCGUGCAAACGUUGUUCGGAAUCACUGGGCUUAAAGGGCGCGUAGGCGGGUCUGCAAGUCCGGGGUGAAAUCUUUCGGCUUAACCGGAAAAGUGCCUUGGAUACUGCGGAUCUCGAGCGAGGUAGGGGCAGGCGGAACUUCCGGUGGAGCGGUGAAAUGCGUUGAUAUCGGAAGGAACUCCGGUGGCGAAAGCGGCCUGCUGGACCUCUUCUGACGCUGAGGCGCGAAAGCCAGGGGAGCAAACGGG
rnacentral:rRNA from 1 species